rnacentral:tRNA from 1 species
UUAAUUGAAACCAAAAAGAGGUUUAUCACUGUUAAUGAUAAUAAUGAAUUUAAUCCAAUUAAA